UACAGAGGGCUCAAGCGUUGUUCGGAUUCAUUGGGCGUAAAGGGUGCGUAGGCGGCUCGGUAAGUCGGGUGUGAAAUCUCGGAGCUUAACUCCGAAACUGCAUUCGAUACUGCCGUGCUUGAGGACUGGAGAGGAGACUGGAAUUUACGGUGUAGCGGUGAAAUGCGUAGAUAUCGUAAGGAAGACCAGUGGCGAAGGCGGGUCUCUGGACAGUUCCUGACGCUGAGGCACGAAGGUCAGGGGAGCAAACGGG
rnacentral:rRNA from 1 species